rnacentral:lncRNA from 1 species
UACAGAUUCCUAUACGGGGAUCAGUAAAAAUUUAUCCGCACUCCAGAUAUUUAAAAUUUCUGUCGGCCGUAUUGUCCCAUCUACACUCUUCAGAUGACGUCAGUAUCUGCUCAGUGACUACUGUGUAGGUUUCAUUGUGUUACGUCAAUUCAUUUGUACCGCUGCGCGAGUAACAAUGGCUGCCCCAGCUGUGAUUUGCAGGAAAACAGUGCAGAUUCGUUUCUUGCGGUCGGAGGCUAUGUCUAAUGCUUAUAUUUAUCAAAGACUUUAUGCACAUUAUGGAGAAAGUGUUUUAUCACGAAGUGUGUUUGAAUGGACACAGAAGUUCAAAGAUCGCAAAAGUGUCAUGAAAAAACAGCUGGACACCCGGCCACAUCCACGAUGACAACAUUGAACGUGCUCAUGAACAUAUUUUGUGGUAUAGUCGAAUGACACUGGAUAAUGUGGCAAAUCAUUUGCAAAUCAACCAUGGUUCUGCUUAUACGAUAGUCAACGACAGAUUUGGGUUUCAAAAAGUUUGUGCGAGAUGGGUGCCGAAAAAGUUGAUGAAGAAGUGAAGACGACGAUGCAUUCGUGGUUCGCAGCUCAGCCCAAAACAUUUUUUAAUGGGGAAAUAUGAAGAUCCUUCAGCAAAUGGACAAAGCGUAUACAGAAACUGGGCGAUUAUGUCAAAAAAUGAUGUACCUCUUUUUUGACAAUUGCUUAAAAUAACUUCUACACCGACAGAGCAGACUGUUAAUCUAGAGGCUGGUGUACAAAGAAGAAGUGGCACAAUGAUGUGGUCUGGUGACAUUUAUAAAUAUCAAAGAAUCACCCCUAUAUUCGCUCAGAAUUUUAAUGAAACUGUACCUUGGGAAGGAAGAACUGAUAUCUUGAUAUCAUGGUUUGUACAUCCUAUAUAUACAAUAAAUUUUGGAAUAUUAUAUAAUGAAGAACCAGAUUAUCAUGGCCAUGUGAUGUGAAUAAAAGGACCUGAAUUUGAUGAUAUUUUUAUAAUGUUAGAUAAUAUAACUAAGUAUCGUCACAUUAAGAUAGGAUGGCAUGGUUUACAUGAUCUUAAUGUUGUUCACUUGAGUGAUCAUAUUAUAAGAAAAAGUUCAAUAUCACAGGUAGAACGAUUUAUAACUUAGAACUACUAACUCAAGUAUGUAUUAAAAAUUAAAGGAAUAUAAUAAAUUUUAUGGGAUAUUUAUGUUUAGUAACCAGUAAUUCAGAAAUUGGUAUUCGUGGUUACUAUAAUGAGACUAUAGAAACGUGUCCUUUCUUCUUUGCAAAUGGCCUGCAUUUAUGUCCAAGCCAAAACUGGAACUUCUGAAUAAUUUAGAUUUAUUCUUGUUUAUUCUUGUUAUUACGUAUAAAAUACUUGAUCUACAGUAUCCCAUAAGGAAUGAUACUGUAUCACACCUAACCAAGUGCCUUAAGAAACAUCAACAUGAUAUCACAGUAAUCACGUAUCGACUGAUAUUUGUAGCCACUUCACUAUCUAUGACACUGGUAGUAAUUAUAGGAAUAAUAAUGAUGUUCUACAAGAGGAAAUGAUGAUUAGGAACAAAAACUUACAGGAGACAUCAUCCGGUGGGUGGAUAAUAUGUAAAAAAAUAUCAAGCAGUAUAUGAAUUUUCAUAUUGCAUAGAGAUAACAAAAUGAAUUUUAAAAAAAUGUCGACAUAGUAAUAAGAAAUAGCAUCAUGACAAAGAAUAUAUAAACACAAUUUCAUUUUUUAUAAAUAAAGUUUCAUUGUUUCAGAUUUUGAAAUAUAGUGGAACGUUUAAUUAGUAUCUUAAUAUCUUUAAACAAUUAUUAUUUUAGAAUCAAUUGUAAUUGUAUCAUACGUGCUUUUGAAUUCAUGCAAGAACAUAUGUAAUUUUGAACUAGUUAUUAUUAGGAAAUUGUUAGAUGCGAACAGUACGCGAAAAGCUGUAGUGUAAUAAUUAUCAAUCAAAACACAAGAAUUAAAUUCUUUAGGAAAAAACGAAAGCUGAAUUUCUUAUUUACAUGUUUAUAAAGAAAUCCAUAAUGAAAAGGAGUUGCUUUCUAAUACUUCUCUUCCUUGUAAUGCCUAUGUUAAUAAUAACGAGGUUCGAUUUUUUGUUUUUAGAGGGAUACUGGAAGAUUUGAAAGCACAGUACCAUUGCGAAGAAAAUCACGAUAUUGAAAACGAUAUUUGCAAAUUAAACAAUAUUCCAGAUUUGUUCGUAAUUUUAUACUACGCGAAGAAUAGACUCAUACAUAUAUAAAGGAAAUAUUAAGUAUAGGAAAACUCUUUUACGUUGUAGGUGACAUAUGCUUCACGGUUGAACGUAUUUUUAAACACAUAUAAAUGAAAAAGUACUCUUGUGGAGAAGAAGAAUUGAUACCUUCGAUUGACAUUAGAUAAUGUAUAUAAACUUAUGAACAAUCACUAUCAGUUUGUAUUUUAAGGGUACGCACAGAUUUAUUGGAGUUCUCAUAAAAUGUACUUCCUGUACGAACGUUUUAUUCUUCCAAAUUUUGGAUUAAACGUAAUAUAAAUGAUCCGAAAAUUGACUCGAACGACAUUAAUUGUCUUUUUAUUUAUACCAAUACCGAAAAUACAAGUAAAGCUGGAACAAUAAUAUGCAGGAAUGGACUAUUUAUUAUUUUAAACCAAAUCAUAACAUCAUAUUCAGAAUGCACAGUAUUAUUAUGAAAUGUAAAUGAAUCAGUUGUAAACGAACGAAUUUACUGUAAAAUCAUUGCCUCCUUUCUUUCAUCUGAAAUAUAGCAACAAGUACUCAUUCUUUUCAUAUAUAAUAAAACGAGAUAUCUUUAUAAAGUUACAUAUGCCAUCACUGGUAACUGUUAUCUCGUAUGACACCAAAUAUACCAUUAAUAUGGAAUGAUAUUUUUAUGAAGAUAUACUUUACUGAUAAAUUUGGGAAACGUUAUAUAAGAAAAAUUAUCUCUUCUAAUUCUAUGAAGUGUAGUAGCUAAUGAAGUUUAAUUUUACGAAGAAUUAGAACAAAAGAGAAUUAAAAAAUUAAAAAGAUCAAAAUAAGAUUGUUUGUAUGGCUUAAUUAUCUCAAUUCUGGUACACCACUUGUUACAUUCUAACUAAUUAGCGCUAAACAAUAACUUGCAAAUAUUAAAGAUAUUAACACCUUAUUGUCCAUUUUUCAGGAAGUUUUAUAAUAUUUGAUUGCUGUAUAUCUAGUCAUUGAUAAAUAAAAUUUCUUGUAUAAGCAUAGAUCAAGGUUGAGGUCAUACGCAGAUUGCAUUACAGGUAUCGUUUUAAUUUAUUUUAUGACUAGAAUCAUUAUUUGAAUAAUAUACGAAUAAUUAUUACCAUUCGAACGAUUAAUAAAUCACGUACCUAUAAAAGAUAUAUUAUGAAAAAGACAUGACGAAACAAAAAAUAUUGGAAAUUCCAUUGUCAUUAGAUCAAUUAUUUUUGCAAUGAUUUUUAUAUCCAUGUAAUUACAUGUGAAAUAGGUAAUCCGUUAACAUUUCCUCGAAUCGAAUAUAAUUCGUUACACUUCACAACGAUUCAAAUAAUGGGAAAUAUAUAAUAACUUUUCCGUCCUUGCGUUAACAUAGUACUGUACAAAUCAAAUGAUACAGGAAAUACCCAAAAACCCAAUUACAUCCACAAUGCAUGACAUCACACUUGCAAUGGAUUUUUGUGAUUUCAAUGUCACAGACAAUAACACAACUAAUCAGAAUACGUUCGAGGCUAUAGACAUUGAAAUUAUCGCGUGUUUAAUACGUGUAAAGCAUAAAUUUCACGCGAUUAUUUCUUUGUACAUUGUGAAACUUUUAAAUCAUCUUAAUCGAAUAAAUAAUCCUAAUGUAAUAAAACAUCUUGAAAUAGACCUAUAUCUGAAACCUAUAUAUCUGAAACAGAAACUCGAAGGAUAAGAAAUCCUAAAAGGAACUAAUUCUAAAAUAACAAACUCUUAAAUAAUAAAUAAGUAAUAAAACCUGUUAUAAAUAAUAAACCUUACCUGG